GAUGAACGCUAGCGGCAGGCCUAAUACAUGCAAGUCGAGGGGUAUGGGUUGCUUGCAACCCAGAGACCGGCGCACGGGUGCGUAACGCGUAUGCAAUCUACCUUAAUCAGGGGGAUAGCCCGGAGAAAUCCGGAUUAACACCGCAUAACAUUGAGUUGUGGCAUCACAGUUCAAUCAAAUAUUUAUAGGAUUAAGAUGAGCAUGCGUGGCAUUAGUUAGUUGGUGAGGUAACGGCUCACCAAGACCACGAUGUCUAGGGGAUCUGAGAGGAUGACCCCCCACACUGGUACUGAGACACGGACCAGACUCCUACGGGAGGCAGCAGUAAGGAAUAUUGGUCAAUGGGCGCAAGCCUGAACCAGCCAUGCCGCGUGCAGGAAGACGGCCCUAUGGGUUGUAAACUGCUUUUGUACCGGAAUAAACCUUCUCUUGCGAGAGAAGCUGAACGUACGGUAAGAAUAAGGAUCGGCUAACUCCGUG
rnacentral:rRNA from 1 species